GAUGAACGCUGGCGGCGUGCCUAAUACAUGCAAGUCGAGCGAACAGACGAGGAGCUUGCUCCUUCGACGUUAGCGGCGGACGGGUGAGUAACACGUAGGUAACCUACCUAUAAGACUGGGAUAACUUCGGGAAACCGGAGCUAAUACCGGAUAAUAUUUCGAACCGCAUGGUUCGAUAGUGAAAGAUGGCUUUGCUAUCACUUAUAGAUGGACCUGCGCCGUAUUAGCUAGUUGGUAAGGUAACGGCUUACCAAGGCAACGAUACGUAGCCGACCUGAGAGGGGGAUCGGCCACACUGGACCUGAGCACCGUUCCAACCCCCUACGGGAGGCAGCAGUAGGGAAUCUUCCGAAAGAGCGAAAGCCUGACGGAGCAACGCCGCGUGAGUGAUGAAGGUCUUCGGAUCGUAAAACUCUGUUAUUAGGGAAGAACAAACGUGUAAGUAACUGUGCACGUCUUGACGGUACCUAAUCAGAAAGCCACGGCUAACUACGUG
rnacentral:rRNA from 1 species